CCUGCUCUCACUGCCUGAACUGCUGAUUGCUGGGAUGAAAGUCAGCUGUGACAAUCAGCUCACCCAACUCACCUGUUCACUACCACACCUCCUGGUAUAUAAACUCUGUUCAUUCAUUCACUCCCUGCUGGACCAUAGACUUGGAUCCCCACAUAGUUUGUCGCUUCCCUCUGGACUCUGAUUCUCACAGUUUCUCUGUUUUGGAUUCCCUCAACACUCUACAUUUGGACUCAGUUUUUCCCCUUCCUGGAUUCUGCAUUUGGACUCCUUUUGCUCCUGGAUUACCCCAACCUGUUUUCCCCUCUGUUGCCAGUUCCCCCCAUCUUGACUCUCCCCUGAAGGUCAUCCAGAUGAUCUGGAUAAACUUCAUCAUGGACCCUCUGGCUGCUCUCGCUCUUGCCACUGACCAGCUGACGGAGUCUCUGCUGCAACACAAACCUUAGGACCGCGACAAAACUCUAAUCUCCAGGAUCAUAAUGAAAAACAUUCUGGGCCACGCCGUGUACCAGCUUGUAGCUAUUUUUACCCUGGUCUUUGCUGGUGAGAAAUUGUUUAAUAUCGACUGUGGCCACAAUGCUCCCCUGGACUCCCCACCAUCAGUGCAUUACACCAUCGUGUUUAAUGCAUUCAUUAUGCUGCAGCUUUUCAAUGAAAUAAAUGCCUGGAAGAUCCAUGGAGAGAGGAACGUAUUUGAGAACAUAUCUAAGAACCUCAUGUUUUUGUAUUCGUUGCGUUGUUUGUAGAGUUUUGAGUAGUUGGGUUUAGUUUUGUCCCCCCAGUUCAGUUCUCAUUUAUGUAUUGGUUUAGUUAUCUUGUUAAAUAAACUCGCAUCCUGUCAUAGACUCCAUUAGUCUCUUUUGGAUUAUGUCCCUCCGCCCCCCAGAUUCCUGCCUGUUCCUGUUUUUGUUCCUUGUCUGCCUUCCUUGUCCUGUAGCUUAGCUUCCCAGAUUUUGUAAGUACUCUGUUUCAUUGCCUGCUUCAGUUUAUUCCUGUUCGGUUUUUGUAAAUUAGCUGUGAGUUUCUGUAGGUUUUGUUGUGUGACUUCUUUUAGUAUAGUUUUGGUUUAGUUUUCUCCCCUGUUCGGUUUUCCUUCUUUUGUAUAGGUUUAGUUCUUUAGUUUAAAUAAAACCCAUUUUCCCUUUGACCACCUGUCUGCCACGAUCUGUGCCUGCACCUGGGUUUGCUGACCCCUUCCCAUAACACGUUGCCAGUUACAGAAAAUGCUUGAUUUCAGUUGUUGCUGCUGAGGGUGGCCCAACCACUUAAGUUUAGGGGGCAAUUACUUUUUCAUACAGGGUCAGCUUUGAGUAGUUUUUUGUUUCUUAAUAAUUAAAAUCAUAAUUUAAAAACUGCAUUGUGUUUACUUGGUUAUCUUUGUCUGAUAUUUACAUUUGUUUGAUGAUCUUAAACAAUAAAGUUAUUGUAAAUAUU